rnacentral:rRNA from 1 species
GACGAACGCUGGCGGCGUGCUUAACACAUGCAAGUCGAACGGAAAGGCCCUGCUUUUGUGGGGUGCUCGAGUGGCGAACGGGUGAGUAACACGUGAGUAACCUGCCCUUGACUUUGGGAUAACUUCAGGAAACUGGGGCUAAUACCGGAUAGGAGCUCCUGCUGCAUGGUGGGGGUUGGAAAGUUUCGGCGGUUGGGGAUGGACUCGCGGCUUAUCAGCUUGUUGAUGGGGUAGUGGCUUACCAAGGCUUUGACGGGUAGCCGGCCUGAGAGGGUGACCGGCCACAUUGGGACUGAGAUACGGCCCAGACUCCUACGGGAGGCAGCAGUGGGGAAUAUUGCACAAUGGGCGGAAGCCUGAUGCAGCAACGCCGCGUGCGGGAUGACGGCCUUCGGGUUGUAAACCGCUUUCGCCUGUGACAAAGCGUGAGUGACGGUAAUGGGUAAAGAAGCACCGGCUAACUACGUG